rnacentral:rRNA from 1 species
CCUACGGGUGGCAGCAGUGAGGAAUAUUGGUCAAUGGGCGUAAGCCUGAACCAGCCAAGUCUCGUGAGUGAUGAAGGUUCUAUGGAUCGUAAACCUCUUUUAUAAGGGAAUAAAGUGUGUGACGUGUCCUAUUUUGUAUGUACCUUAUGAAUAAGGAUCGGCUAACUCCGUGCCAGCAGCCGCGGUAAUACGGAGGAUCCGAGCGUUAUCCGGAUUUAUUGGGUUUAAAGGGUGCGUAGGCGGCCUUGUAAGUCAACUGUGAAAGUCUGUGGCUCAACCAUAGAAUUGCCGUUGAAACUGGGGGGCUUGAGUAUGUUUGAGGCAGGCGGAAUGCGUGGUGUAGCGGUGAAAUGCUUAGAUAUCACGAAGAACCCCGAUUGCGAAGGCAGCCUGCCAAGCCAUGACUGACGCUGAUGCACGAAAGCGUGGGGAUCAAACAGGAUUAGAGACCCUGGUAGGC